rnacentral:lncRNA from 1 species
AUUAAAUACAAUGGAUGAUGGUAAUGUGACUGGGAAUUUGUGAUUUAAGUGAAAAGUAAAGAUUCCUGGAACAAAGAAGCCACAUUUUUGGAGAAAAUCUAAUAAUGUCUGGAAAUAGAACGCUUGACUGUUUCGGUAAAGCCUCUAGGUGGGACAGCUGCUGCAGGGAGAGGGGUGAGAAUGUUACAAGACUGUGAGGUGGCAGAGAACACCGGGGCUACUGAGUGUUCCGCAUUCUCAUCCUACUUGGGGUGGUGAGCAGUGGGACACGGAGGGAGGAAGAGUAUAAUUCGAAUAUUUAAUAUAAGAGCAGAGAAAUGUAUGUAUUACGGGGGUAAACACCAGUGGAAUGGAGAAGCACCAAAGAAUUUUGGAAGUACUCAGGAGGAAAAGAAAAGAACAGAGGGCAGCCUGGCCUCACCUCUCAGCAGGGCUGUCACAGUGCCCUCCCCUCACUUCCUGGAACUCCUUCUUUGGCUUUUGCGACACUGCGCUCACCGGCUUUUCCCACUGGAUGCUCCUUGUCCCUCUCUCUUAGUGGUGGUUGGUGCCACACCAUCUUUUCUUCCCUAGCUAUAAUGCCCCCUAGAUGAUUUUAGCUAAUCCCAUGGCUUUAGUAGUGUGGCUGGGUUGAGGGCCACGUCUCCAGCCCUGACCUUCCCCUGAGCUUCAGACCCAGACUCUACAGCCUAUUUAACAUCUUGGAAGCCAAGAUUAACAUGUAUAAAACCAAAUUCUUGUUUUAUGCCUCCCCUCACCCCAAACCUGUUCCUCCCUAUGCUUUAAUAAUAAUUACAGGUGGCCGGCCCCAUGACCUAGUGGUUAAGUUUGUUCACUCUGCUUUGGCAGCCAGGGUUCAGUUUCCAUGCCUGGACCUACACCACUCAUUGCCAGACAUGCUGUGGUGGUGACUCACAUACAAAAUAGAAGACUGGCAUAGGUGUUAGCUCAGGGUGAAUCUUCCUCAAGGAAAAAGAGGAAGAUUGGCAAUAGUUGUUAUCUCAGAGCCAAUCUUCCUCAGCAAAAAGAAAAGAAAGAGAGGAAGAAAGGGAUAGAAAGGAAGAAAGAAGGAAAGACAAGAAGGAAAGGGAAGGAAGGAAGGAAGGAGGGAAGAAAGAGAAAGAGAGAAAGAAACAAACAAACAAACAAAGAGAAAGAAAGAAAAAUAUUUACCAUUCAAUAAAUGUCACACCUUCUACCCAUUUACUUAAGCCGUAAACCAGGAAGUCAUCCUUGAUUCUUCUUUUCCUUCCCUCUGACAUCCAGUCCAUCAGCAGUCCAUGUCAGCUCUACCUCCCAAUCUUUCCUGAGUCUCUCCCCUUCUCCCCAUCCUGUGCCACCAUCCUUCUCUUACUUAACCUAUUACAAGAACCCCCUCGCUGGAAUCCCUUUUCCUACUCUUUCCCUCCUAUCAACCAUUCUCCAGACCGUAUCUACUCUAAAGUGGUCAUUAAGAAUGUAAAUCACACGAUAUCACUUUGCUAAGAACCAUCUAGCAGCUUCCUGUUGCAUUCAGACUGUGUCCAAUCUCCCUACCGUCCCUGCGAAGCCUUCCCUGCUCCCAGUCUCCUGUCUUCAGAUAUCUGCUUCGCUCCUUCCGCCCCAGCCGUGGCGCUCCUUCUGUCCCACAUGCGGGCCAAGAACAUUUCUGCACUGGGAACUUGGCACACGCUCUUUCCUCUGCCGGGAAUAAUUCGUUCUGUCCUGUCAUCAUUCAGGACUCACCUUAAUUGGCAUCCAGUCAUAGGGGACUUUCUUGAUGAACGACCCACACCCCCAGAUCGCCACCAAACCGCCACUAUUCUGUCACAUUAUCCUAAGUGUCAGUCAGGGUUCUUGGUUACACACAAGAGAAAGCAGCUGACUAAUCGAAUAUGUAUAUGUUAGAGCUUAGCAGGUGACCCACAGAGCUUUGAGGGGUCCAGAUGGCCAGGCUUUGAGACCACUCAUCCAGGAGCCACACCCUGAGUCACACCACCAGAGCUGGUCCAGCAGAGGCUGGUCUGUUAAUCCUGGCCAAGACAUCACAGCUCAAACCCUUGUUCCACUGACUCUGGACACUUUCUCUGCCCCAGAACUGCUGCCACCAUUGCCUCAGGCGAUUGUGUGUGGCUGCUGCCAUGACUGCCAUUUCAACAGCACAGAUCCUGUGGGCCUCCUCCCUUCAUGUCACUAGCUUGUGUUUGAAAGUCUGUGGUUCCCAGGCUGUCAAAGACCCCAGCUCGUCCUGCAUGCUGCAAAGGACCCUGGGGGUAUUACCGAACAUGAAGUGAGUUCGCUCACCCGUUGCGCAGCAAGCCAAUCUCUGACACCAGGAGUGAUGGAAGAAAGAGGAGAUAGUCCAGGUGCUUGUCCUUGACGGUGUCUGUCUCCAUGGAGGAUAGUGGAUUCUGGAGCCAGGAAGCCAGAGACUGCAACUGAACUCCUCCUCGUCUCCUGACGUCGAGAGAUCGAGUGGAUUCGGGAUUCUGGUGAUGAGAGAGAUUUGAUUCUGGUGUCCUGGAAACCUAAUACCUCUAAUCCUGAAUGGUAUGGCCUUGAAGAAAAAUACAAGCACAUAUUCAGCCUAACAGAGCUGGGUUUCUUGAUCAUCAGAAAUCUCAGUAUGGAAAUGAGUGGACUGUACACAGCGAAAAUCAGGUUCCGGUCAGGAAAACCCCAGGAGAAAGCCUUCAGACUCUGUUUAUAUGGUAAGGUUUGUAGGGACCACGCCCCAAACAGGCGUUCUGACAACCAUUUUAUCUAAAAGUUAGCCUAGAACUGGGUAAAAAAAAAGAAACCAGUGUUUAGGAGUUUUUGCAUUUCUUCUGAUGCCCUAAAAAUAAAACUAAAUAUUAAAGAUUACAUCCCAGGAAAAACUAGUUAAAAUUUCUUAAAAAGUAUAAAAUGUACACGAAAUGGGGGAGAGAGAAAGAGCCACUGAAAAGGAUAAAAAACCUUUCCCCAAUCAUAAAAAUACUGCAAAAUUGAUUAUUAGAUAUAUGCAAUUAUAUCAAAAAUGUCCUGAAUUGGUUGGUUGAAAACCUGAUUUAAAAAUUCUUAAAUGACCCAAAAUAGUUGGCAACACCAAAACAACAAAACAGAACACCAAAAAGAUGAAAUAAAAGCACCAAGAAGGAGACUGAUGUUAGGACGAGUCAUUAGAUAAAUUGCUUUGAGACCAAUUGACCUGAAGUCCAGCUGGAGAGAUCUCAGGACAAAGCUCUGUCCUGCUCUGUCCAAGUCAAAGAUGCAGAAGGCGACCCAGCCGCUGUGCCCUGGGGCUCCCAGGCCAACGAGGAGCCCAAUACCCUGCCCCAGGAAGCAGAGAACCUGGGCAGAUGCGCAGUGGAGAAAGCAGCAAAAAGAGAGGAGGGGGAGCAGUGCCUGGGGGCAUCCAACCUGCCAGAGCUCUCGCCCAUUGCUGCUCUCUGCCUCCACCCUCCGUCUCCUCUGCUUGGGUGAUCCCAGCAGCCUCCUAACGGGCCUCCCUGCCUCUCCUCUCUUCCUCCUUCCAGAUCACCCUCCAACCAGCUGAUAUUUGGAUCUUUUUAAAAAUGCAGUACUCAGCCUGUUAUUCCCCUGCUUAAAACCAAAUAAUACUUCUUGUCCCCACCCCCACAGGAUAAUGGCCCUCAGGAAAAGUCCAACCCCACACAGGAUCUGGUCCUUGCCUGCCUCUCCAGCCUCAUUUCCCAACACUUUCCCUCAUGGGCAAUACUCCAAAUUAGCUACCCUUCACUCACCCACCUGGCCCUUUCUCUUCUCCUGGACAUAUGCUGGUGGCUCUCCAGGGGACAUCCAUCUCCCCACUUCCCCUGCACAACUAGCAAAGCCUCACCUAGUGGGAGCAGGGGAGGGGUGAGGGACUCCAACAUGGGAGAUGGGAACGCUUGUAAGAAGAGACUGGGGUGACUGGCUUGGCUGUCCAAACUGGGGUUUUCCAUUGGUGAAGGGUGGGGAAUACACCCGCUGACCCCCCGGCCUCCAGCUCUUGAUUCCUGAUCUUGUCUCUGUCCUCCUUGGCUGAUAAAUUCCUUGCAUAGCUUUCUCAGUGACGUCAUACCGGUACAGUCUCAUCCUCUCUCUUUUGGCAGCAAGAAACAGAAACCUACUCAAAUUAGGUCAAUAAAGAGGGUUUUCAUUGUAAAGAUACAUAGAUCUCUAGGAGGAAGAUGAAUACAGGAGCUCCUCUAGCCCUCAUGCUCAGGGACGGGAAAGCUGACGGGCACUCUCUUCUGUCUGUCAGGGACCAUAUGGUCCCUCAUCUUUGCUCUCAGUGUCUCUCUUUCUCUCUCCUGUCAGCUUUAUUCUCCUGGGCUUGUCCACACGGUAGGGAACAUGGCCUUCUGCAGCUAUGGGUCCCACUGGAUCAGAGAGCAAAGGGACUUUCCUGGUGCACUCCACAUGGAAAAUUCCAGGGAAGGACCCUUGUUGGCUGGGCUUGGGUCACAAGACCGCCCCUAGAUGGCUUACUGGCCAGAGGAAUAGGCAAGGCCUGGGACUUGUGCCCUCCCCUGUAAUGAGGGUUAGGCUGCUGUGAUUGAGAUCAUAUCAAAAAUACAAGGUUGGAGCAGAAGAGAAGUUGCCAAAAGAAGAAGUCCUACUAGCUGGUUUCCUUUGGCCUUGUUUUCCAUUCCCUGACAUCCCAUCAAUGCCCAAGUUCAGUCUUCAAACAACACUCGCUCUCUCCCCAUCGCCUGUAGGACUAAGUACUCAUCACAGCAUGAGAGGACCUCCACUGACUGAUGCCGUCAUUCCAGCCAAACAUAUUGCUCCUCAAACACAGCCUCUCUCUCCCUCAUGGCUUUCAGAACUGCCACAGCCUAAGAAAACGAUUUUCUGAUCUAUACUAAAGGAAUACUUCCGUUGUGAAGUCCCAAGGUUCUUUCUCUUAGUUCUUUUGCAGAUUGUGUUUCUGUCUGCCUUGCACUACAAUUGUUUGUGUGUGGUCUACUCUCCACUUGAGAGCAGGGUCCGUGCCCUGCUCCCCUUGGCAUCUGCCCAGUGUUUUCUACAGCUCCCAGCAGGGAUUCAGGAAGUACUGUAUUCCUUUAACCAGAUAGAGUUAAGCAAUAUGUAAAGGAUACCUACAGAAACACACCUACUUUUUCUAGGAUUUUUGAUUAUUCAAGCCUGAUUACUAUUCCUUCACCUCUUGAAAAGAGCAGAAUAAAGGUUCAUAUAAACCAAUUACUGAGUGAAUACUCUAAAUGCCUGAGAGCAUGAGCUUUCUAAACACCCAUCUGUGCUUCAUAACACUUUAUAAUAGACAGUCCAUUUGGUUUUAUAUUUAAAUUGUUAUCUGUUCAAAAAAUCAGAUCUUUGAAAAAGCUAAUUAAAAUAUUGUUUU